ACAGCAGUCGCCACGGUAAAACGAAGGUCCCGAGCGUUGUUCGGAAUCACUGGGCGUAAAGGGAGCGUAGGCGGCGUGGUAAGUCAGAUGUGAAAUCCCGGGGCUCAACCCCGGAACUGCAUCCGAUACUGCCAUGCUAGAGGAUUGGAGAGGUAGCUGGAUUUCUUGGUGUAGCGGUGAAAUGCGUAGAGAUCGGGAGGAACAUCAGUGGCGAAGGCGGCCAUCUGGGACAACACUGACGCUGAGGCACGAAAGCGUGGGGAGCAAACAGGAUUAGAUACCCCGGUAGUCCCUGUCUCUUAUAC
rnacentral:rRNA from 1 species